CSMWUUCGCCCUUGAUUUGACGGUACCUAUAAAGGAAGCACCGGCUAACUCCGUGCCAGCAGCCGCGGUAAUACGGGGGGUGCAAGCGUUGUUCGGAAUUAUUGGGCGUAAAGCGCGUGUAGGCGGUCUGAUUAGUCUGAUGUGAAAGCCCUGGGCUCAACCCAGGAAGUGCAUUGGAUACUGUCAGACUUGAAUACGGGAGAGGGUAGUGGAAUUCCUAGUGUAGGAGUGAAAUCAGUAGAUAUUAGGAGGAACACCGGUGGCGAAGGCGGCUACCUGGACCGAUAUUGACGCUGAGACGCGAAAGCGUGGGUAGCAAACAGGAUUAGAUACCCUGGUAGUCCACGCCGUAAACGAUGAGAACUAGGUGUCGCGGGUA
rnacentral:rRNA from 1 species